rnacentral:rRNA from 1 species
GACGAACGCUGGCGGCGUGCUUAACACAUGCAAGUCGAACGGAAAGGCCCUGCUUUUGUGGGGUGCUCGAGUGGCGAACGGGUGAGUAACACGUGAGUAACCUGCCCUUGACUUUGGGAUAACUUCAGGAAACUGGGGCUAAUACCGGAUAGGAGCUCCUGCUGCAUGGUGGGGGUUGGAAAGUUUCGGCGGUUGGGGAUGGACUCGCGGCUUAUCAGCUUGUUGGUGGGGUAGUGGCUUACCAAGGCUUUGACGGGUAGCCGGCCUGAGAGGGUGACCGGCCACAUUGGGACUGAGAUACGGCCCAGACUCCUACGGGAGGCAGCAGUGGGGAAUAUUACACAGUGGGCGGAAGCCUGAUGCAGCGACGCCGCGUGCGGGAUGACGGCCUUCGGGUUGUAAACCACUUUCGCCUGUGACGAGGCGUGAGUGACGGUAAUGGGUAAAGAAGCCCCGGCUAACUACGUG